GCCAAGCGUUCCUCUCUGCACCCAGCACUCUGCGGGGACGAGAGAAAGGAGCAGAGCUACGAUGGGCUUGGCUGCCCUUUUCCAAGGCUAGUUUUCUCUCCUGCGGAGGACAUGAGGGCGCCUUCCAACCUGGUCAGCCAUGCGGAGCCUGGGCCUCGGUGUUCCCUCCACCCAACCGCAGGGACAGGUAUACAACGCAGUGAUUGGGGAUUCGAUAUUUGUACACAUUCCAAAACGAUCACGGCAGCCCACCGGCCCACCUGUUGCCAUGAAUGGGUUCUUCUAAACGCAGGCGUCUGAUAAACCCACAUCAUUACGUUGAACUUGCCCAAAAGAAUAUACAGUGUUUUCAGUACCUCUGCGGCAGAUGGGGUAACAAUGGCUUUUGAUGUGAGAAAGAGUCUGUUAUUCCAUUUCAAAGGUGCAGGUAAACAGAUCUUGUACAGGGCACACAGCAGCAAACGCCUAGCGUCUGAACUCGCCCCAGAAAUGGGCAAAUGAUACUCCCCUCGACAGAGGAAAACAACCCAGGCACACAGGUGGCAUGGCAGACUCGGAAUCUUAACAGCAACUUUGAAAGUCACGACACCUGAGAAACCGCCUCUGGGGACACACCCGUUGGCUACAGGUCCACUGAAGGACACACUUUCAGAGAGACCACAAAAGUACGAAAAGCAGGAAAACCCAGGAAGAAACUGAGGGAGGUUAUUACAACCAAGACCUUUGGACCUCAAGCGAGCACCACGGAGGGUCCGCACGUGGGAAGGCGCAAUCAGAGGUAUCAACCCUCCCGAUUAUAAGAGCUCGGCUUUCC